rnacentral:tRNA from 1 species
CGGGGCGUAGCACAGCUUGGUAGUGCGCCUGGUUUGGGACCAGGAGGUCGCAGGUUCGAAUCCUGUCGCCCCGACCA